GCACUUAUUUGCUAUGGCCGAAUGAGUACAUUUCGGUAUAAAUCUUCCUUUUAAAUUCCAAUCCUCUGAAUUGCUCCUUGAUUCUUGGCCAAUUUCAGAGUUUGAAUCCUAACCGCUGAUGUGCAGCCUUAUCCACCGCUUCAUCAUGCUGCUAAGAGGAGUUUCGGUCAAACUCUAACUCUCCCUCACGUGAACAGCAAAAUUGGUAGCCAUUGGGCGUAUAACAACAGCUCGAACUCCAGACCUCAGUCCACCCUUGCACCUAUGUUCGUGCUGCUGGCCACUGCAUCAGGC
rnacentral:lncRNA from 1 species